GUGCUCACUUUGGCAGCACAUAUACUAGAAUUGGAAAGAUACAGAGAAGAUUGGCAUGGCCCCUGCACAAGGAUGACACGCAAAUUCGUGAAGUGUUCCAUAUUAAA
rnacentral:snRNA from 1 species